GGUUAAGUCCCGCAACGAGCGCAACCCUUGAUCUUAGUUGCCAGCAUUCAGUUGGGCACUCUAAGGUGACUGCCGGUGACAAACCGGAGGAAGGUGGGGAUGACGUCAAAUCAUCAUGCCCCUUAUGACCUGGGCUACACACGUGCUACAAUGGACAGAACAAAGGGCAGCGAAACCGCGAGGUUAAGCCAAUCCCACAAAUCUGUUCUCAGUUCGGAUCGCAGUCUGCAACUCGACUGCGUGAAGCUGGAAUCGCUAGUAAUCGCGGAUCAGCAUGCCGCGGUGAAUACGUUCCCGGGCCUUGUACAC
rnacentral:rRNA from 1 species